CACGUAGGGCGCAAGCGUUGUCCGGAAUUAUUGGGCGUAAAGAGCUCGUAGGUGGUUUGUUACGUCUGCUGUGAAAUCCUAGGGCUUAACCCUGGGCUUGCAGUGGAUACGGGCAGACUAGAGGUAGGUAGGGAGAAUGGAAUUCCUGGUGUAGCGGUGAAAUGCGCAGAUAUCAGGAGGAACACCGGUGGCGAAGGCGGUUCUCUGGGCCUUACCUGACACUGAGGAGCGAAAGCGUGGGGAGCGAACAGG
rnacentral:rRNA from 1 species